AUGAAACUGUUGUCACAAGACCACAAAAAGUACAUCAUAUCAGAAACCAGUCUUGGCGGUCUAACCCAAAUGCAUGAAGUGACUCUACAGCGCAUAAUGUUGGUUAGACUAGCCAAGAACAUAGAUAUGGACACGCAAUCCAUUACCAUCGGUAAAACGCCAAUUCCUAUAACAAAAGAGGACGUGCAAGGUAUAUUUGGCAUUUCGAUAGAAGGGGAGGAUAUAGAGCCACAUCUGGAAAUGCAAACCGACACAGAAUUGUUUACCGCCUAUGCAAACAAUGGGCAAAUUUUGAUUUCUGACCUUGAAACGGCGAUCCGAGCUUCCAAAGCCCCAGACGGCGAUUUCCUGAGGCGGUUCAUUCUGUACGCAAUUGGUACUAUUGUAGCACCAACAGCACAACAUUAUGUGGACUCGAAAUUUCUCAACCUUGUUACAGAUCUUGAAAACCUUCGGAAAUUUAACUGGGGAUGUUUCACACUUAAUCACUUCUUCAAGUCCGUUCACAAGUUUAGAAAUCGAGAUCACGUAAAUCUACAAGGAAAUCUAAUUCUGCUCCAGUAUUGGUACUGGGAGCACGUGCGUAGUGGCCGAUUAAUGUAUGCUUCUAGACCCCCUCCAUUGAUCGCACGA
rnacentral:rRNA from 1 species